rnacentral:misc_RNA from 1 species
GUUAAGUUUCUGUAAGUUACUACAAGUUUUUAUAAAUCUUUAUACGUUGCUGUUUGUUAACUUUCUCGUAAGUUUCUAUAAGUUUGUACGUGUUGCUGUUUGUUGCUCGUUAAGUUUCUGUAAGUUGCUAUAAGUUUCUAUAAAUCUUUAUACGUUGCUGUUUGCUAAGUUUCUGUAAGUUACUACAAGUUUUUAUAAAUCUUUAUACGUUGCUGUUUGUUAAGUUUCUCGUAAGUUUUUAUAGGUUUCUAUAAGUUUGUACGUGUUGCUGUUUGUUGCUCGUUAAGUUUCUGUAAGUUGCUAUAAGUUUCUAUAAAUCUUUAUACGUUGCUGUUUGCUAAGUUUCUC